UACGUAGGGGGCAAGCGUUGUCCGGAUUUAUUGGGCGUAAAGAGCGUGUAGGCGGUCUGGUAGGUCCGUUGUGAAAACUCGAGGCUCAACCUCGAGACGUCGGUUGAAACCGUUUGGCUAGAGUCCGGAAGAGGAGAGUGGAAUUCCCGGUGUAGCGGUGAAAUGCGCAGAUAUCGGGAAGAACACCCGUGGCGAAGGCGGCUCUCUGGGACGGUACUGACGCUGAGACGCGAAAGCGUGGGGAGCGAACAGG
rnacentral:rRNA from 1 species